GAAGAACAAGAGGAUAGUAACUGAGGCAAAGUUGAAAGUGGCUAUCAAUGGAUUUGGAAGAAUUGGAAGGAACUUCUUGAGGUGUUGGCAUGGUAGAAAAGACUCACCUCUUGAUGUCAUUGCCAUCAAUGACACUGGUGGUGUCAAGCAAGCUUCUCACCUUCUCAAAUAUGACUCCACCCUUGGCAUCUUUGAUGCUGACGUCAAGCCGGUUGGCACUGAUGGAAUCUCUGUCGAUGGAAAAAUCAUCCAAGUCGUCUCCAACCGUGACCCUGUGAACCUCCCAUGGGGGUAAGUUCUAUCAUACUGAAAUGUAACAAAACGGAUUUAAGUUGUAUAUGUUCAAAUAUAGUGUAACAAAAUUUACAUUAUACAUUUGUAGAAAAGACUAAUUAAAACUCUGUAUUAUGAUACAGGGAACUCAUAUUAUCAGUUGUCUAAACAGAAACAGUAGUUCUAAGUUUUAAUAGUCAUGAAUUAUAGACUUAAUGGUAACAAACAAACCUAAGCUAUCACAUUUUCGUGAGUUUCAUACGUCAGCUAUCCAUUGUUCUACUUAGCACUUACAUACCUAAACUGUCACCUUUUUGCGAGUUUCAUACCUCAACUAUCACUCCCUUUGUAUUAAACACACCUCGAUGUUGAAUUGUCCUACAUGCCUGUUGUUGAUUGAGAACAAAUAUUUGGCCAGCUUGAGUGAUAUUUUAGGUACAAAAAGAGAACAAUGGAUAGUUGAGGUAUGACACUCGCGAAGAAGUGAUAGUUUAAGUGUUUUUUUAUCAUUUACUCUGAAUUGAAACAUGAUUAAUUUAGCUCAUGUGGUGUCUAACAUAUACUACUAGCAUGAGAUACCUGGUAAGCAUCUAAACUAUUGUUCAAAAUGUUUUCUGUAAUUUGUUCAGAGAACUUGGAAUUGAUUUGGUCAUAGAAGGUACCGGAGUGUUUGUAGACAGAGAAGGUGCCGGUAAACACAUCCAGGCCGGAGCCAAGAAGGUGCUCAUCACCGCCCCUGGAAAAGGUGAUAUCCCUACUUAUGUUGUUGGUGUCAAUGCUGAACUUUACAACCAUGAUGAACCUAUCAUCAGCAAUGCCUCUUGCACCACCAACUGCCUUGCUCCUUUCGUCAAGGUUCUUGACCAGAAAUUUGGUAAUACAUCUUGAUCUAGUAAUACACGAGCGUAUACUGUCAGUGUAUAUAACUUAAACUCAUCAAUACAUUAUCUUUCCUUAUCAUAGGAAUUAUCAAGGGAACAAUGACAACUACUCACUCUUACACCGGUGACCAAAGGCUUCUUGAUGCAAGCCACAGGGAUCUUAGACGUGCGCGAGCUGCAGCACUGAACAUAGUUCCAACCUCAACUGGUGCUGCUAAGGCUGUGGCUCUUGUCCUCCCAAGCCUCAAGGGGAAACUCAACGGGAUUGCCCUCCGUGUUCCCA
rnacentral:lncRNA from 1 species